UACGUAGGUGGCAAGCGUUGUCCGGAUUUACUGGGCGUAAAGGGUGCGUAGGUGGAUGUUUAAGUCAGAUGUGAAACCCCUGGGCUCAACUCAGGGACUGCAUUUGAAACUGUCUGACUAGAGUCUUGUAGAGGGGGGUAGAAUUCCAGGUGUAGCGGUGAAAUGCGUAGAGAUCUGGAGGAAUACCGGUGGCGAAGGCAGCUUACCGGGGUACAACUGACACUGAGGCACGAAAGCGUGGGUAGCAAAC
rnacentral:rRNA from 1 species